rnacentral:tRNA from 1 species
GCAGGAAUAUCGAAGCGGUCACAACGAGGCGGUCUUGAAAACCGUUGGCCUAACGGCACGGGGGUUCGAAUCCCUCUUCCUGCGCCA